AACCCUUUAGUGUGGAUUGUUAUAAAUUCAUGAAUUUGAAUAUUCAGGAAAAUAAGAUUACGUGGGUCACUAUACUAGCUGUUGUAGCAGCGAUAAAGGUGAUGUGUAUCGGUAUUGUUAUCUAUAUUCUUCAGAGGAUUAGAAAAUUUAACAACUCCAGAUCUAGUUCCCGAACUAUCUCCAAACGUAAGCUGUAUGAUUCAUCAUCAGAUGGAAGCGAGCAUCCGGACUACGUUGCACAUAGACAGAGAAUAUAAAAUCAUCUGAACUAUGUGGCACAUAGAUCGAGAGUAUAAACAGUUCAAAAUAUCAGAGUACCGAUGAAUCUGUGGAAGUUAAAGCUGAUUUCAGAAAAGAAAUCUAUAUCCAAUAUAAUGAGAUGUAUCUCAUUGUGCCCCAGUAUACAAACUACUACACAGUUCUCUAUAUCUCUGUUUUGUUCAGACAGAGCAGUUUGUUUAUUAAUUCAUCUUAUUUUAAUUCGUUUAAUAAGUUUGCCUAGAUGCACGUAAGAUUGAAAUGUUAUUGUUAUAAUUCCUCUAUAUUAAAGAGUUAUUUAAAAGAACAAAAAUGAUUUGAAUUUUUGAUACGUAAACAAAUAAAUUCGCCUUUCAAGUCGUCACAAAGUCGUACCAUUAAUGUCAAUUCAAUUUGACCGUCUCCACCUGCCUAGUUUACAGUAAAGAGUAUUUCGUUUUCUAUAAUCACGCACAUUUGGACGAUUAAGUUCAUGAUUAUGAAUUAGUCAACUGUUUUUAUACGUGCAUUCAAAGAAAGGGUUAAAACCUUGUCACUUAUAUACUGAAAUUGAACAAAUCAAACAUAAAAAGAACUAAUGGAUAAUACAGAGCGUCCCACAUAUUAGAUUAUCUCCAUACUUUAACGUCAAAAAAAACACUUAAUACUCGAAAAACCUAGCAUUUUCGGCAAGACAUUUUUGCUUCAACAUGAUUCAUUCUUCUUAAAAUUUCUGAUUAGUCCCAAAAACCGUAACUUAGACCCAUUGACGAUCUACUAUGAUGUGGGACACCCUGUAUGUCGAGUAUUCUGCUUCUGUACAUUUUAUGUGUACGCUUAAAUCAGAAUUUUUUAAUAAUUCUUUCCAACUUAGUGUUUUUAUCUCCUUAA